rnacentral:rRNA from 1 species
GACGAACGCUGGCGGCGUGCUUAACACAUGCAAGUCGAACGGAAAGGCCCUGCUUUUGUGGGGUGCUCGAGUGGCGAACGGGUGAGUAACACGUGAGUAACCUGCCCUUGACUUUGGGAUAACUUCAGGAAACUGGGGCUAAUACCGGAUAGGAGCUCCUGCUGCAUGGUGGGGGUUGGAAAGUUUCGGCGGUUGGGGAUGGACUCGCGGCUUAUCAGCUUGUUGGUGGGGUAGUGGCUUACCAAGGCUUUGACGGGUAGCCGGCCUGAGAGGGUGACCGGCGACAUUGGGACUGAGAUACGGCCCAGACUCCUACGGGAGGCAGCAGUGGGGAAUAUUGCACAAUGGGCGGAAGCCUGAUGCAGAAACGCCGCGUGCGGGAUGACGGCCUUCGGGUUGUAAACCGAUUUCGACUGUGACGAAGAGUGAGUGACGGUAAUGGGUAAAGAAGCACCGGCUAACUACGUG